CCUACGGGAGGCAGCAGUGAGGAAUAUUGGUCAAUGGACGGAAGUCUGAACCAGCCAAGCAGCGUGCAGGAUGACGGCCCUAUGGGUUGUAAACUGCUUUUGUACGAGAAUAAACCUUACUACGUGUAUUCAUCUGUAUGUACCGUAUGAAUAAGGAUCGGCUAACUCCGUGCCAGCAGCCGCGGUAAUACGGAGGAUCCGAGCGUUAUCCGGAUUUAUUGGGUUUAAAGGGUGCGUAGGCGGAUUGUUAAGUUAGUGGUGAAAGGUCCGGGCUGAACUCGGGAAUUGCAGCUAAAACUGUCGAGCUUGAGAGCAGAAGAGGUAGGCGGAAUGCGUGGUGUAGCGGUGAAAUGCUUAGAUAUCACGAAGAACACCGAUUGCGAAGGCAGCUUACUGGACUGUAACUGACGCUGAGGCACGAAAGCGUGGGUAGCAAACAGGAUUAGAUACCCGAGUAGUC
rnacentral:rRNA from 1 species